UACGUAGGGUGCAAGCGUUGUCCGGAAUUAUUGGGCGUAAAGAGCUCGUAGGCGGUUCGUCGCGUCGGCUGUGAAACCCGGAGCUCAACUCCGGGCCUGCAGUCGAUACGGGCGGACUCGAGUUCGGCAGGGGAGACUGGAAUUCCUGGUGUAGCGGUGAAAUGCGCAGAUAUCAGGAGGAACACCGGUGGCGAAGGCGGGUCUCUGGGCCGAUACUGACGCUGAGGAGCGAAAGCGUGGGGAGCGAACAGG
rnacentral:rRNA from 1 species